GAGCCAGACUCCUACGGGAGGCAGCAGUGGGGAAUAUUGCACAAUGGGGGAAACCCUGAUGCAGCGACGCCGCGUGAGCGAUGAAGUAUUUCGGUAUGUAAAGCUCUAUCAGCAGGGAAGAAAAUGACGGUACCUGAAGAAGAAGCCCCGGCUAACUACGUGCCAGCAGCCGCGGUAAUACGUAGGGGGCAAGCGUUAUCCGGAUUUACUGGGUGUAAAGGGGGCGCAGACGGCAAUGCAAGCCAGGAGUGAAAGCCCGGGGCCCAACCCCGGGACUGCUCUUGGAACUGCAUGGCUGGAGUACAGGAGGGGCAGGCGGAAUUCCUAGUGUAGCGGUGAAAUGCGUAGAUAUUAGGAGGAACACCGGUGGCGAAGGCGGCCUGCUGGACUGUGACUGACGUUGAGGCCCGAAGGCGUGGGGAGCAAACAGGAUUAGAUACCCGCGUA
rnacentral:rRNA from 1 species